rnacentral:rRNA from 1 species
UACGGAGGGGGCUAGCGUUGUUCGGAAUUACGGGGCGUAAAGCGCACGUAGGCGGCUUUGCAAGUUAGAGGUGAAAGCCCGGGGCUCAACCCCGGAAUUGCCUUUAAAACUGCAUCGCUAGAAUUGUGGAGAGGUAAGUGGAAUUCCGAGUGUAGAGGUGAAAUUCGUAGAUAUUCGGAAGAACACCAGUGGCGAAGGCGACUUACUGGACACAUAUUGACGCUGAGGUGCGAAAGCGUGGGGAGCAAACAGG